GGAGGGUGCAAGCGUUAUCCGGAUUCACUGGGGUUUAAAGGGGUGCGUAGGCGGGUAUUUAAGUCAGUGGUGAAAUCCUAGAGCUUAACUCUAGAACUGCCAUUGGGUACUAUUUAUCUUGAAUAUUGUGGAGGUAAGCGGAAUAUGUCAUGUAGCGGUGAAAUGCUUAGAUAUGACAUAGAACACCUAUUGCGAAGGCAGCUUACUACGCAUAUAUUGACGCUGAGGCACGAAAGCGUGGGGAUCAAACAGGAUUAGAUACCCUGGUAGUCCACGCCCUAAACGAUGGAUACUCGACAUACGCGAUACACUGUGUGUGUCUGAGCGAAAGCAUUAAGUAUCCCACCUGGGAAGUACGACCGCAAGGUUG
rnacentral:rRNA from 1 species